AGCGAACGCUGGCGGCAGGCUUAACACAUGCAAGUCGAGCGGGCACUUUCGGGUGUCAGCGGCGGACGGGUGAGUAACGCGUGGGGACGUGCCCUCUGGUUCGGAAUAACUCAGGGAAACUUGAGCUAAUACCGGAUACGCCCUUUUGGGGAAAGGCUUGCUGCCGGAGGAUCGGCCCGCGUCUGAUUAGCUAGUUGGUGAGGUAACGGGUCACCAAGGCGACGAUCAGUAGCUGGUCUGAGAGGAUGAUCAGACACACUGGGACUGAGACACGGUCCAGACUCCUACGGGAGGCAGCAGUGGGGAAUAUUGGACAAUGGGCGCAAGCCUGAUCCAGCCAUGCCGCGUGAGUGAUGAAGGCCUUAGGGUUGUAAAGCUCUUUUAUCCGGGACGAUAAUGACGGUACCGGAGGAAUAAGCCCCGGCUAACUUCGUG
rnacentral:rRNA from 1 species